GUGGUCACUUUGGCAGCAUAUAUACUAAAAUUGAAUGUUAGAAGAUUAGCAUGGCCCCUGAGCAAGGAUGACGUGCAAAUUUGUGAAGUGUUCCAUAUUAAA
rfam:Erinaceus europaeus unplaced genomic scaffold scaffold00609, whole genome shotgun sequence